UUGACUACACUUCCCAGCAUGCCUUGAAACUUAAUGUGGCCCUGUGAUUCGGUUGGGGCCAGUAGUAUAUGGUGAGGAUGACCGGCGCCACUACAGACCUGGGGUAGAAAACCUCCUGUAGGAUCCUGCGCUCAGAUGGCUCUCUUCCCUGUAUGAGUACAGCGGGUGCAGGGAUGGAAACCCUUAGAGGCCCUGGACUAGGAUUUCUAACCUGGAGUCCAUACAAAGACACCCCAGGGAUCUAUUCUUAAAAACCUGCAUUUUUACUUUUACUCACCUCUAAUUGAAAAUUGCCAUUUCCUUUAGUUACAAACCACAGGAGUAGUAACAAGGUGUUUGAUUUUUUACGUUUAAAGCAUCGUUCCAGGAAGAUGUCCCUAAGCUUCAGCACACUUGUAAAGCAAUCUGUGUCACCGAAGGGGUGAAGAAUGCCAGGCUCAGGAGCCACAGACGGAAGGACCUGUGAGGUGGCCCUGCUCUGCCAAUCUGUAGUCAGCUGCAAUGAGGAAAAUAAAGCUUUUCUUUUUUCUUUUAUUUAAGAACCAAGACUCAGGACUGUUUGUCAUAGCAGCUGGCCUGAUCUAAGUCUCUCCCUAAGGAUCAUUGCCUGAUGAGGGCAGGACUUGGGCUCUCCAGGGUGGUGCCUAAUGCCAGUUCCCAGCAAGGCUUGGGAAAGAGCUGAGCUCUCCGACUGAGGCAGUUUCUGGGUGGAGAGUGAGGUCCUGCAGGGUGUGGGCAGGCUGUGGGCUGCUGGCAGGGGACCUGGAGGGAGCCAUGGCCUUGACCAGAGUGGGCAUUGGAAGACCAGCCCCUAAAGCAGUCAUUCCCGGGACAGGGCUCAGGCAGUGGGCUCUGGGCUUCGCCCCAGCUCUGUCCUUAAAUUCCCUUCAUCUUCUCGAGUUUCUGUGGCAGGCUGCAGACCCCUGCACUGUGGCGUGGAAGGGAAAACCACGCCUGGCUGAGACAGGACUUCUGCAAGGCCACAGUGGAUGAAGACACUGCUGACCCCUCUGUAGGGAGUCCAAUAGUGUCUCCCAGAGAUGACCAGUCCAAGUCCAGCCCUGGAGCCUGUGAUGUUACUGGGGACAUUGGCAAAUGUGAUUAAGACAGACAGCAGACACACAGAGACAGGGAGAAGGCUGCGUGGAGACAAGCAGGCAUCUGGGUGGCUUUGCCAUAAGCCCUGCAGCACCAGACACCACCAGGAGCUGAAGGAGGAAGGGAAGGAUCCCCUGGCAGAUUUGGAGGGAGCACCGGCCUGCUGACACCUGUUGGGGUGGCUAGGAGCACUUCAGGGGCCUGGCUAAGAGCGCUGGCUGGAAUCCCCUUCGGUGCGGCGACAGUGAGAUCUUUUAAGGGCUCACGGUUCUCUGCAUGGCUAAGUCAUGAACGGCUUUCCUCAAAGCUCUUGCUGCCACCAUGACCUCAAAGCCAGCAUCGCAGCUCCAGGAUGACGUUGUCAGACCGGCUGAUGAAGAGUCACCGCAGGGACAAGUAUUUAAGAAAAAUGAUAUCUGCAAGAAGAAAUGAUCAAGAAGUCUAUGGUCUGAGGGGGGGAUAACAGCUUUCCAGUUUCUUUCCUACCUGAGCUGAGCCAUCUCAAGACAUUUCAGAUUUUCUUGUGAUCUUAAAUCUGCCCUGUGAAUUGAUAACUCUUAGUGUAUGCCAAGCAUUUGGCAAAUAAAAAUGUGUU